UUUUUUCUCAAACGUACGAAAUAACGUAGUAACUUCAGAAACCAUAUUGUGCAUCUGUGUGCACUAAAAUUUUAUUGGAAACACAAAGUAAACAACAAUAUAGAUUCAGAUCAGGUUCACCAAUUUUUUUCAGAUCCUUAAAUGGCUCAACGAAUUGUUCCCAUCACGUUUUCUAGCCACAUAGUGGUUGGAGGCUUCCGGAGUGGUUUCCCUGUACUUGGGAGGGUUUUCUUCAGACAAAAGCUCUUUAAUGGGUCCAUAUACUCUCGGACUUAUUGAAGGAGGAUGCACAAAGAAAGAUGCAACCGAAGUGCGUGGCUCUUUACCUCCAUUUGCCAAAACUCUAUGCUCCACACUCACAAACUUGUCAUUCGUCAUAAGCUGCAAAAAAAAAAACACUAUGAAGACCUUGUUUUCUUACUAAUUAUGGACCGUUUGAUUAUGAGUAAACAACAACUUGCCUGUAGGAGAUCUCCAACAUUAAGGAUAAGAGCAUUAGGAUUAGGAGGAACAUCGAUCCAGUAUCCAUCAUGGAGAACUUGAAGUCCUCCAAUAUGGUCUUGAAGAAGUAUAGUGAUGAAAGAUCUGUCUGUAUGCUGAGUGGCGCCGAGCGUUAGGUCUGGCUCAGGACACGGCGGGUAACAAUGACAGAGCAUCAACAAGCCUUUUGCACAAUCCAUUUCUUUGAGGUGGUUAGGCUUCAGCCCUAAGGAUUCUGAUAUGAGCUCAAAUAUUAACUCCCCAAACAUCAUCACUCUCUUUGAGUAGUCCAACAUGAUCUCCCUAAAACAUUGAACAUAAAUAAACUCUCAAAACCCAUCAAACAAAAAUAUUAAGUUAGUCCAAAGAUUAAUUUAAAACAAGAGAAGCCGUGUUCGUACCUACAAAUGUCUGGUAACUCAUCGGUUUUGGGAACAUCAGGGAACAUAAAACAACUUAAGGUAUCUCUCCAGCUCGCAGCAGGAGAGUCAUAGAGAUCAGAGUUAGAGUUAUACUUUAUCGCUUUGUCCUGUAGUAGAUCACCAACAUUAAGGAUAAGAGCAUUCGGAUUAGGAGGAACAUCGAUCCAGUAUCCAUCAUGGAGAACUUGAAGUCCUCCAAUGUGGUCUUGAAGAAGAAUAGUGAUGAAAGAUCUGUCUGUAUGCUGAGUGGCACCGAGUGUUCGGUCUGGCUCAGGACACGGCGGGUAGCAAUGACAAAGCAUCAACAAGCCUUUUGCAAAAUCCAUUUCUUUGAGGUGGUUAGGCUUCAGCCCUAAGGAUUCUGAUAUGAGCUCAAAGAUUAACUCCCCAAACCUCAUCACUCUCUUUGAGUAGUCCAACAUGAUCUCCCUAAAACAUUCAACAUAAAUAAGCUCUCAAAACCCAUCAAAGAAAAACAUUAAGUUAGUACAUAGAUUAAUUUAAAACAAGAGAAGCCGUGUUCGUACCUACAAAUAUCUGGUAAGUCAUCGGUUUUGGGAACAUCAGGGAACAUAAAACAACUUAAGGUAUCUCUCCAGCUCGCAGCAGGAGAGUCAUAGAGAUCAGAGUUAGAGUUAUACUUAAUCGCCUUGGUUUUUUCACGGCUAUAGAACCUUUUCCUCGCUUCUGGAUCUUGCGCGUGAAACGCACGGAUCCCAUCUUUCAUCUUCUCCAUGACCUCAAGUGGAAUCCCAUGAUUUAUCGCCUGGAAGAAACCAAACUUCUCCAUGGCGCCUUUCACCUUCUCAGUCACUUCCUUUCUUGUGACCGUGGACUCGAACACGCCACCUCCGAGAUCUAUCGUUGGGAUAGUCAAGGUAGAAGGAGGUUUAGGGUUAGUUACCGUGGCUUGCGGGUUAUGGAAUAUGCGUGGGAUUUUUGUGAUUCCAGCGUCGACGAGACCCUUCACGCCGAUUUUCAUCUCGUCGAAUGCUUGUACCUCGCCGGCACGGUUAAAUGUUCCCACCAUUGUACACUUGGACUCCAACCUUUUUUUUAGUGCUUUAUGAAACAGGGAAACUUGUGUUUUGAGUCACCUAGCUCUGUCUCUAUAUAUAAGGAGGGAAAACUGGUGAAGGCAUGAAAUAGAGCGCAAAGAGAAGGAGAUAUAUUGAGAUACCGUCUGUAUUAUUAAUAUCAUAAAAGAUAUUAUCAAUUUUAUAUCAUAUUAUUAAAAAUUAUUAUCAUAUCAUCGAGAUGUGUAUCUUUUAGGUUAUGAACGGAAACCAUAGUGCGGUGCAUAUUUGGAAUUGAUAUCCUUUUGAAGUUAUAAAUGUCAGCAACCAUAGUGCGGUGCAUAUUUGGAAUUGAUGUGAUUUUAAAAUUAUAAGUGUUUUGAGUCACCUAGCUCUGUCCCUAUAUAUAAGGAAGGAAAACUGGUGAAGGCAUGAGAUAGAGGCCAAAGAGAAGGACGGGUCGUGUAAUCAAUCCAUUCAGCGGCGCGCGUGCCAAUACAUAAAAAAUAAUACUCUAAAAAUUGGUUUAGAAAAGAGUCAUUUAAGCUUCAGAAAGUGAGAUUUAGAGUAAACGCUAGGACGAUUUGUAUAUCUUAUAAAUAGAUCAUACUUACCCAAGAAAAAUAUUAUGCUAAAAGAAUGGAUAUCACUCAAAGCUGUAAUAGGAUAAUUUUUUUCUUUACAAAAGUCAAAUUAAUAACAAUGCACAAUCGACUAUCUAAUUACUCGAACAUGAUUUUCCGAAGUAUUGUCGUUGUUGUGCACUACGUUGCACGGAAGCUUCAUCGGACGUCCGCUUCCCGCUUCGGAACCGGAAUCGGAAUCGGAACCUUGUGGAAGCUUACGGAAUCUCGCUUCCAGAACGCUUCCAAAAUAUUCUUUUUAAAAACACGUUGGAAGCUUAUGAUUCCAUUUUGAAAUCACGCUUCCGUUCUUUAAAAAAAAUACAAGGUUGAAUAUCAAUAAAAAUAUAAUCGUAGUUAUUAAUUUCUGUAAAAUCAAAAUUUUAAUAGUAAUGAAUAGAGAGGAUAUAAAUAUAUAAAUAUUAAAAUUAAUACUAUAAAUUAUCUUUAUGUAUUGAGGUUUUUAUUAAACAUAUAUCAUAUAUUCAAAUAUAUUGUGUCAAUUAUUUAUGAAGCAUUAACAAUAAUUAAUAUAAUAAUUUCUUUUAAACUUAAUUUAUGUCUAUUUUCACAGUUUUAAUAUGAAAUCAUUACAAAAUUAUUACAAAUGAAUAAAUAAUUUAUUUAAAUUUAUAACUUAUAAUUUUUAGUCCUAAUUUUUUUAAGAAAAUCUUAUAUUUUAAUAUAUAUAUAUAUAUAUAUACAUAUGGAUAUACGCUUCCAAUACGUACCCGCUUCCUAAUUUUUCAAAAAAUCUCGCUUCUGCGCUUCCAUACGCUUCCGCUUCCGCGUACCCGCGGCACAAGCAUAUGACUAAGGUUUAUUAUUCUUCUUUGGAGAGCUAGGUAAUUUUUUUUUGUUUUUUGGUUUGGAGAGCUAGGUAAAUUCUUCUGGAUGAAAUUUGUAUCUUUGUUUAUCAAAUCGUGUUUAUAUUUUCUUCCAUUUAUUAGUGUAUUAACCUUACUUAACUUAUUAUACUGGAAACUUGAAAGAUGUUCUGAUAUUCCAAGUAUAGUAAUUUGCUGAUAUCAUUUCGUAGUAGUUAACCUGAAGCCAUUAAUUGGAUUAAAAAAGGUUAACAUUAAUUAUUAAGGGUUGAACGUGGAUGACAGAGAACCAAGGAGAUAUGUUAAGAUAUCGUCAGUAUUAUUAAUGUCAAAAAGAGAUCAUCAAUAUUAUAUCAUACUCCUAUUAUUAAAAAUAAUUAUCUUUUCAUCGAGAUGUGUAUCUUUUAGGCCUAAUUAGAAUUAUUUUAUCAUAUUAUCAAUAAUAUAUCAUAUUAUCAAUAAUUUAUCAUAUUAAUAAAUCAUUUUUAUAUUAUGAAUGGAAACCAAAGCGCGGUGCAUCUUUGGAAUUGAUGUGAUUUAAAAGUUAUAAAUGUCAGCAAUAAUAAGUAAAAAUGCAAUUUCAAGAAUGUUUCUAUAAAUAUUUCCUUUUUUAUUACAUAUGGUUUGGGAAAACUAAAAAAUGAAACUAAACCUAAAAUUUUAAUUGAAAAACUAUUAUGUAAAAUUGAAAAUAUCUUUUUAUAAUAACAUUAUAUAUAUUAUUUUAGUUUUUUGUCAACAUAUAACAUUUUCGUUAUAUAUCAUAAUCAUUAAUUGUAAAACCAAAAUAAGAACAACAUAGAAAAACUGACUUAUAUAAUAGAUUUUCAAUUGUAAACUUUCACUGAUCUAUAUUUUGUUAACCAUGAUGCAUAAAUUGUUUAAAUAGGUAAUGCUAACAAAAUGAGAUCUGAUCCGAGAUAGAAAAAGCAUGUGACUUUCUAUUAGGGCUGAGUCGUUACUAUAAAAGGGUUUUGGACAAAAAAAAAUAUCUUAUAUAUUAAAAUAGAAGUCAAAACUUUGAUUCAUGUGUGAUUUUUUUAAAAAUGAAUCUAAUAGACAUAUUCCUAGAAAAUCAUGUUACAUUUAAUCUCUAAUCUUAUCAUUUAAAUUUUGGGUCUGCCAAAAUUUUUUAUUGGACUAUCAAUAAUUGGAUUUAAACAAUAGAUAAUCCAUUUGAUUUAUAGAUAGUAUAAAUUAAAUAAAUAUAAUUUAAUGUUGUAAUACUAUAUCUCUAUAUGUUAAAUAUUUAAAUAUUUGUCGAUGUUAACUUUUAAAAUUAUAAAGAUUUUUUUUAAAUAACAAAAAUCAUAUUAUCUAACAAUGAUUAAUCUUUACUACCUUAAACCAAUGAAAACAAAUUUAAAACUAUAUGAUUUAUUUUAAAAAACAAAAACUAAAUGUUUAAUUAUUUACUCGAUAAUAUAAAUUUAUGAAGCGAAAAGUUUAUUUUUUUAAAAACUUUCUAAUUUUUGAGAUGUUACAAUAUCUUUGAAUAUAACAAUAAAACAAUAUUUUACUAAUCGUUAUAUAUAGUUACGAUUUUAAUAAUGAAAUAAUAAUCCGAAAAUAUAUAUAUAUAAAAAGAUACAAAUACAUGUGAAAGUUUGAAAUAAUAUAUUCAAUCAAAAAAAUAUACCGUAAAAUUAUUAUGUUUUAAAAAUUGAUAGACACAUAUAUAUUAUAAUAUAUAUCAAUUUAGAAUGGAAAACAAAAUAUUUAUAUAAAAAUAAAUGAAAACAAACCGCGCGGAUCGAGAUCUAGUUAUAUAUUGAGUAGGAAGCAUUUUAAUAUAUUAGUCCUGUUGAUAUGAUAUUAGUAUAAUAAUUUUUAGAGUCACUAUAAAAACAAGUUAAAAUUAUUAGAAAUAUAUCAUUCAUUAAAAUUCAUUAGGUACAGUUCAUCCUAACUUUGAGUUUCUCUAUGACACAAACAUGAGGUGUUGCACCUUCUAUCAUUCCUCGAUGUCGACGUCGUCGCUGUUCAUCCCCGCCUUUCGCUCUCUUCAUCAUUGCCGAUUCUUUUGGUCCAGUUCUUAGUCUCUGCUUCAAAUCUACUCUUGUCUUCAACGGAAAAAUAAACCUAUUUCAAUAUGAACUUUAUUCAUGGUGCCUAUUCUUUUACGAAUUGGUAGUAUUGAAUAUAUAUUUUAUAUUGAACUGAACAAAAAUCUAAAAAUACUAUAGGAACUUUAAGUAUUGUGCUUUUCCAUUCUUGAAUUUUAUAAUAGUGCAUAUUUCAUACUAGACUAAACAAAAAUUCAAAAAUAUUACAUGAAUUUUCAAAAUCGUGCUUAUAUAUAUAUAUAUUGAUCAUCAAAGGUAUUAGUCAUCCGUAAAUUUAUAAAAACACAUUAUUUUGGAUACUCUAUAAAACUAAAAUUUUAAAAAUACUACAUGAACUCUCAAACAUAUAUAUAUGGACAGUCAAAAGUGUUAGUCAUCCCUUAAUUUAUCAAAACACGUCAUUUUGGAUAAAUUAUAUUAAAUGAAAAAUUACUUUUGGAAGAUUUAAACUCUCACACUGGUGGAUAAGUAUAGUGUAAAUAUUUAAAUUAAUAAUAAAUAUUUAAAAUUAUAAAAUAAUGAUUUAAAAGUUAAAUUUUAAUAAAUAAAUAAUUGUAGAUUUAUUUGAUAAAACUAAAACAAUAAAAAUUUGAUAAGAUUUAUUUUAUUAAGCUAAAACUUAUAUAAGUUAAUGUUUAAACAAUUUAUACAAGAAAAUUAUUUUGGUCUAUCAGUUAAUAUGAUCUUACUUGUCCAUCAGUGUGAGAGUUCGAACCUCUCAAAAAUUAAUUUUUAGUUUUACAAAAUUAUUCUAAAUAACGUUGUUUUGAUAAAUUAACGGAUGACUUACAUAUUUGAGGGUCAAUAUAUGAGCAAGAUUUUGAGAGUUCAUCUAUUUUAAAUUUAUAAUUUUACAUAAUUUAUCCAAAAUGAUGUCAUUUUAAUAAAUUAACUAGGAUACGACCUGCGCCUUGCGCAGGGUAAAUUUAUAUAAAAAUGAUUUAAGAAAUAUUGUAUUAAAAAAAAUUAUAUUCUUGACCGACUUAAUAUUUUGGCCGUUAAACAAUUUUUUUAAACUUUUUGUUAAUUACAUAAUUUCUUUACUGAUGAGAUGAUUCUAUUUCUUAAAACUAUUUUAGGUCAAAAAAUCAAUUAUCGCAUAAGAACUUAACGUUUAGACCGAAGAAUCUCAAGUCUACUAUUUGGUUACAAUAAAACUGCGUUACCUCGGUUUUAUAUCAUGAUUUAGCAAUCCUAUCUAUCUUCGAUAUUUUUCUCUUGUCUGUGUAUCUUUUUCAUUUUGGUUAUUGUUCGAUACAAAUAUUGAUUUAGGAAUUUAUUCUCAUUUCGUUCGUUUAUUUUGGCUUGAGAUUUAGAAAAUAUUUAAGAUUUAAAAUUAUUAAUGAGAUACAUAUUUAGGCUAAGAUCCACGCCUUGUGGAGAAUAAAAUAUUUUAUAUUUAUUACUUAUUUUAUGUUUUUCUGCAUAUUAUGAAAUAAUAAAAUAAUAAUUAUAUAUAUUAAAUAACUGAGAAAUCAGUUACUAUUAUGUAAUAAAUUGGCGUGCUCAUAUAAAUCAAACAACCAAAUCUUGUUUAUUCGCAAUCAUUUUAGGAUAAAUAAAUCAAAACAAUAAAUCUUAUCUAUUAGUAUAUGAUAUAUAAUUAAAUUUAAAUGAUAUUAACAUAGAUGUAUAGUAUAAUUUUAAUAUGGAUUUUUAUUAAAUGAGGUUUCUACUCAUGAUUUUAUGAUUAUUUGCAUAUUUAUGUAACAAAAAUUUUUUGAUGUGGGAUUUUUAUUAGUUUCAAUAAUUUAUAAUCAUUAAAAAAACACCAUGAAAUUUUCAAAAUUAAAAUAUUAACUUUUCAGUAUAUGGUCAAUGCAAAUAUCAAAAUAUUAGUAUGUAUUUUCAUAUGAAGUUUAGUUUAAUUUAAACGAUAUAAUAUAUAUAUACAUAAAAACCUAUUUAAAUAAAAUUAUUUAUUCAUAUAGUCUUAUAAUCAUUGUAUCUUAAUAUAAAAAAAAUUAAAGCUUAAUCACAAAAGGUAUGGAAGACUUUUAACAGUUUUAGUAUUUUAUAUACAAAAAAAACCUAAUUUUUUAUUAUAUGAUUAAUGUAAUUGUGCAAUUUAUUUAAAUAAUAAAGAACUAAAAAAAAAUGUUAGAAAGUAUACAUAUGGUUAUCAAAUAUUUAUUAUUUAAAAUCAUUAAUUGCCAUAUAUAUAUUUUAAUCACAUUAGGUAAUUCUGUAUGUUUUAUUUAAGGAAAGAAUAGAGAAUAAAUUUUAAUUUGAUAAAUGAAUGAUCCAUAAUGGACAUACUAUAUAAUAUAACAUUUCGUACCAAUUUAACUUUAGACUAACAAAAUUCUAGCAUUCCAAUUAUGUAACAACUCAACAUGACACUUUUUAAUUAGUACAAUUACAAGUUAUAAUUUUUAAUUGUUUCUCUAUUAAUAUAUAAGGGAUUAAUAAAAAGCGUCUAUUUUUAACCACCAAAUAUAGAGUUUCUAGUUUGUAAGUAUAUAAAUAUUGGUUAUGAGAGACAAAAUAUAGUAAUUUGCAUCCCGUAAUAUUUAGUGUAUUAUUUCCAAUUUAUUUGUCAUCAUAUUAAGUAUUUCUUGAUAACAAAGAAAAUAGUUUGAUAACGAAGAACACAACUUCGGGUAAAUUCAUAAAGUAAAAAUAAUGUCAUUAAUUACCCUUUAAGUUUAUUCACCACACAAAAUCUUUAGCAUGAUUUAAUGGUUAUCAAAUGUAAAAGAUAUCAUAUACCUCAAAGAUACCGAAAACAUAUUUGUAAUAUAGUCUUUACCAUGUAUGAUAAUAGCAUUCUCGUACCGAAGGUUCAACAAACAAAUUUUGGUGCAUAUUAAAUUGGCUAGACUCCGUCUUUUGCGUUAAAAUAAGUCAAUUACCAUAUUUGGUAUCAUCAAGUCAUAUUACACAUUUUUAUUUGGUAUCAUCAAGUCAUAUUACAUAUUUUAAAAAUGUGUUUAGAUGCUUUCUUGACUCCGUCUUGUGUGUAUAAAAGAGUCAGCCAAGUUUAUCUCUUCCCAGAGAAUAAUGUUGGUUUCUCAUGACACAUUUAACUCAGUGUAGAGCGAUUAAUAUUGGUUAUAAAUAACUCUUUCUAGCCAAGUUUGAAUCCAUUCAAAAGUAAGGCUUGAGAAACGUUUUUGCUUGUGUUACGAAUGAACAUGGAACUUAUGACAUAACAUAACUGAAAUGACAUUAUAUCGAAUGUCAACCAUUACGCAACUUAAAUGAAAAACCGUAGGGGAGAUUGGAUGAUGACAAAUAAAAAUUAGUAAUUUUAACAAAAUAAUGUAUCCAUAACUCUAUAGCUUGUGUUUUACCAAGAAAAAAAACUACAGCUUGUGAGAGAAUUAUACUUUCAGUUAUUAAUGUGUGUAGGCGCUAGACAUAUAGAACUAAAGGGCAAUGCUAUAGAGACGGACGACUACGACCCUAUGAUUUCUGAAGGUGAUAAAGAACAUAAUAAAUAGCAUGUAAGUUUUUAUUAUAUAUCAACUGAGAGUAAAGAACUAUACCAAUAUCAUAAGUUGGAGAAAGAUGUCGAGAUAAUUAAAAAAUGAAAUUGGACAAAGAUGUGUGUUGAACAAAGAUUUGGAGAUAUACCAAAAAUAUAUGCUGUCAAUAGUUUUUUGGGUCUAUGCUAAUGUUUUGUUUGUGAUAAUGAUUACUGGAAAACGUAUUUCACUUAUCAAAAGGGUUGUGGUUAACUUUAUUGAUAAUGAUGAUAAUAACGUGAAAACGAAUUGCAGGUUUCCAUAUUUUCAAAGAAUAUUAAUUUAAUAGCCUUGAUGUCGAAGAAUAUUAACUUGAGAUCUUGAAUAUUAAAUUUAUCAUAUACAUUCUAUACAUUCUUUACAUUAUAUACAUUUGUAUUUGAGUUAAUAUAAAUUUUUCUAGCAAUUAGAUUUUGGACUUACUAAUUUUUCAAUUGAUUCUUAUGCUGCUACAUAAACCAAAUCGACAUUUUAAUUAAAUGACACAUAGGCAAUGUUUUUUUUAAUUAAUACAAACUUAAGUUUACGACUUUUUUAAUGAUUUUCAAUUAAUAUAUAAGGGAUAUAUAUACAUAUAUAUAUAAGCAUGAUUUUGAGAGUUCAUGUAGUAUUUUUAAAUUUUUGUUUAGUUCACUAUGAAAUAUGUACUAUUAUAAAGUUCGAGAAUUAAAAAGCAUGAUGCGUAAAGUACAUACAGUAUUUUUGAAUUUUUGUUUAGUUCAGUAUAAAAUAUGUACCGCUGCAAAAUACAAAAACCAUUUCCCCGUCUUCAGCGGUGACGAAUUCUUGGGGCUCGACCUGCUUGGUUUCAAGCGCCGGUCCCAUGCUCAGUUUAUGCUUCGUUGUUUGUUUCUUUGAGAGUUCCUGGAAAAUCAUGUCAAGAAAUUUUAUUCUUAAUAGUAUCAUUUAAAAUAAAAACUAAUCUUUAUUUAUGGUAAUUAUAUAUCACAAUUUGUAAUAAUUACAUAUCGAUAUAAAUGUGUGAGAUUCUAAUUAUACUCCAAAAAGUAUAUAUGUUAGUCUUUGAAUAUACAAGGGUUGAAGAUUUAUUUUAAAUCAUCACUAAAUUAAAUUUUGUUGUAUGUUGUACGUGUAUUUUGGGUAACAAUUCUAUUUUCUUUUUAUUAAAAACAGUGACAUAUUUAAAGAAAAUAUGGUAAAAUUAAAAUGCACAAUUCAUGGUAGAAAAAUACAAAAUCCAACAGAAAGCUAUAAAAGUGAUUAAAUUUUGUAAACAAGGAUACGAAAUUGGCUUUAAGAUAUUAAUUGUUUUAAAAACAAAUAUAACUAAUACUUUAGGUAUAUAAACAGUAUUUCAUGUAUUUGAUUACCUUUUUGUUUUUAAUAUAGAAAUACUUUAGUUCGGAGUAUUUGAACAUAGAAAUACAUGAACUGUUUUAAGAUUAUUUAGAUACAAGUUUAGUUGUUUUAAUUUGGUUCUGGAAAAAAGUCCAUGCCUAGUCAUAUAUCUCAACCGAAGAUACUGAUCGUUCUAAGUCUAGAUUAUUAGAUACACGACAAUAUAUAUGAUUAUAGACCAAAUGUGAAAAAUAGACAUAGUAUUCCACAUGUAUUCUUGUGAAUUUAUUCUACACAAUAAAUCUUAGUGAACACAUUAUGGUCCAUCUUUUACUAUUUAGAUCCUUAGGUGGAGCAAAUUAAGGAGAGGCUCCAUUGAGUCCUCUAGCCAAGUAAUGCCUCACCAUGUCGGUCGUCGUGGUCUCGCUGUGCUUGGGAGGUUUUGUUUAGAAACAAGCUCUUUAAGAGUGGCAUAUACUUGCUCAUUUGGGAUUUUUCAGAAAUUGUGUUUAGAAAAAAAUCAAGAAUAUAUUUGCCUGUAAGAGAUCUCCGAGGUUAACGAUAAGAGCUUUCGGAUUAGGAGGAACAUCGAUCCAGCAUCCAUCAUGGAGAACUUGAAGACAUCCAUUAUGGUCUUGAAGAAGAAUAGUGAUAAAAGAUACAUAUGUGUGUGAACUUAUGCCAAAGGUUAGGUCAGGCUCAGGACAAGGCGGGGAGUAAUAAGAGAGCAAUGAUAAGCUUUGCGGUGUCCAGUUCUUUGAGGUGGCUAGGUUUUAAACCAAGAACUUCUGAUAAAAUUUCAAAGAUUAUCAUUUUGUGUACUCCAACAUGAUCUCUCUGAAAUAUUAAUCACGUACACUUCAUAAUUAGUAAUUUAUAUAUAGAAGAUUACCAUAAAACAAAAAUAAUUAUAUAUAGAAAAUAAGUCCUCAACUAAAUCAAAUAUCUUGUGUAGUCUUAAUUAAUUCUAUUAGAGCUAGAAAUGAACUAUAAAAAAUCAAUUAUAUUUCCACAUUAUUCAGAGUACUUUGGAACAAGAAUUUAUUUUUUGGAUUAAUUUGGAGACAUCCCAAAUCUACAGAAGAGCCAAAACUAAUCCUCUAAUGAAAGAUGUUGUUUACGGAUAGACCUUCUUGUCGGAUGUUCAAAUAAAAUCUAAAUCAUGGCCACAUAUCUGUGUGAUCACACAUAUUUAGUGUCGUAUGGUUGUUUCGAACCUGAGUCGCUUAACUCACAUGAAUUCGCCUACUACUUUUUUUAUGUGUGAUUAACAACAAUUUUUGCCUCUGUGGUAUAUAUAAUCUAUUAGCAAAUUCUUUUGUAAAUAUCCGUAAAUAAAAUGUAAAUUAAAUUCCAAUAUAUUUACUGUAUUUUGUUGUUAGGUUUUUAUUUAUAAUUUUUAUUAAAAGUGAUUUAAAUUUGGUACAAUAGUAGAAUGUCACGUUCUUAAAAUACAAUAUUUUAUUUUGAUUUAAGAAAACUUCCUAAAAUAGAAAAAUCGGGGUUUUAGAUUAUAAAUAAAUAUAUAAAAUUUUAUAAAUUAUUCUUCAUAUCACUAAUAAAAAUCUAGACAUUGGUAUUUUAUCUCAGUGGAGUAUUUCUCUGGUUUUUAGUUUUAUUCAAGUUUUAUUUUUACUCACAAACAAUAAUCAAUUUUGUUUUUUUUUUUUAAGAUUUGUUUUUAACUUGAACAGUUUAGCUCUCUAGCAUAAUAUAGCAGCAACUUGGGCUAAAUUGAAAUAAUACUUUUCCAAUUAAAAGCCAUAUGUAUGCGUGGACCUAUAAUUUAAAUGGAUUAUCCGAACACGAACCGAACCCAAACCUAACCCGCAAAGAUCCAAACCGAACCUGUACCAAAAUUUAGAAAUACCCGAAUGGAGCUGAAAUCUUUGACUCCGAAAAUCCGAAACCCUAAUAGAUCCGAACCGAACCCGAAUGGGUAUCCGAACGCCCACCCUAUAUCUAUAUAUCUUUCUAUCUAUCUAUCUAUAUUAUUAAAACCGAAGUACAUCUAGGAACUAACCCUUAAAACUACAGUUUAUUUACAUCUAAAUGCCACUGAAAUGAUAAUAAGUCUAACUUGAUUAUUUAUUAUCUUUUUUAAAAAAAAUUAAUUAAUAGUUUCCUAAAUCGAAUGUAAAAUAAGUAGAUAAUCAGUUUAGAUAUUUAAGGGAGUAGAUUCCGUUAUGCUUAAUUGCCAAGAAUAUAAUAACAAAAAAAUAAUAAUUGACACGUAGAUUUUAAAAUCUAACGCCCAUAAAGAGAGACGGAUAAUUUUUAAUCUCAAAUUUGAUUUAUUACUGGCUUCUAAAAAACUCAUAGAAUAUUUUGCUCGCAAAUAUUAGUCCUGUUCAUCGUCAAUUUGGGGUUAAUAUGUUGAGAACUUGCUAUAUGUUAUAUUUCAAUUAAAGUAACAUAUAGUUUACAGAGUUAGAGAAAAUCCAAUUCAUCAUUAUUUUAUAUGUUGAUUUCUUUCUGUUUUUCAAGUAGCAUGUUUUUAGAUCUUCACAAAAGAACUCUCCAAGUUGCAUGUUUUAACCUGCUAGAUCUUUAACCUGCUAGGUUUUUUUUGACAAAAAAAUGCACAGCACAACAGUUUUCUAACUAACCGAUAUAAGUUUAAUCGGGACCAACAUAAAUGAAUUCUUAAAUUUAUUGCGUUAAAGACCGACUUAUGUGUUUUAUUUGUACUUUUGUACCAAUUUAAUUCAUAUCUGAAUACAAAAAUCUUUAAGAAUAUUCCUUAUUUAUUAGAAAACAAAUCAAUCAAUUAUUUCUGAAUCCAAUUUCUUUCCUUUGAAGGAUUAUAUGCUACUGACUAUCUUUAUUUUUGACAUAAAAAUACUUUUUUAUAAAGAUAGAUUUAUUAGUAUACAUAAAAAAUGUUAUAUAUAUGAACUAUAAAUUUAUUGUGUUUAUUCAUAAUAUAUAUAAAGAUAGAUUUAUUAAUAUACAUAAAAAAUGUUAUAUAUACACAAUACAGUUGUGUAUUGUGUUUAAAAAUGUGUUUGGAAACACAAUACAGUUGUUAUUUUGGUUCAAAAAACAAACCAAAAUAAUUCAAUAUGAACUAUAAAUUUAUUGUGUUUUAAAAUGUUAUAUAAAAUAAUUAUUUUAAUACAGAUAAAUUUUAAUGUACAUAUUAUCAUUUUUAUAAAAUAAAAAUAAACAUCCGUACGGGCGUGCGGAUCAAGCUCUAAUAUACUAUUAUAUGAUGAUCGAUUUAGUAAUGGAAGAAUUUGUCAAAUAACCAAAUCUGGAGUGAAAAUUAGGUAAAUGUCAUUGAUUUUGACAUAAUAUAAUUUCUAAUAUUUGUGUCAUAAAAUAUCCGGUUAUAUCCGUUCUCUUUAUAGGUAGCAGGUAAAGGAGAGAGAGUGAGCUACGUGGUUGAUAAAACAUAAGGUCAAAAGCAUCCGAAAACUAUUGUACAUUAAAAAAGAAAAGCCAUCCACGUAUAAGUUUACUAAAUGUUGUGAAACUAAUGGAAAAGUCUAUCAUUAUUCAUAACAUAGAGGUUCUUUAUAUAGGAGAUUACACCGUCAUAGAUAAAUGGAAAGAUUACAAAUCAUAAUCUUUUGGUUAUGAACAAUUCACAAUCUGGUUCAUAACACUUAUUCGUUGGUGCUUUACAAGCUGGUUUAUAUAUGACUUAGUCAUUCUUUUUCGGGUCAGCAAAUGUGUCUGGCAUUUGAUUAGCUAGCUUUGUAAAUGUAUAAUCUUUGGACAUCUAUUUCACAUUCUUUAGUCUGAUGAAUCAUUCAUUCAUUUAAUCUAAGCAGACAAUGUAAUAGAUAUAAAUUCAAGGAGAUAUAAAUCAGAGAAAGCAUACAAGCAAAGGAAUCACACAAGUUUGUUGUUGAAAUCAGAUUAUCAACUUGAUUCUUUUAGGCAAUCAUAAGUCUCAUACUCCAUAAGAUCAUCUUGAUCAUGUUCGAAAUUAUUUUCACCAUCUUUAUAGACUAAGUGGGUUUCAGGAUUUUUCCCUUUCAGACUCUCUUGGGAGUCCUUCAUAUCUUAGUCCAAUGGUUUCCCAUUCCACAUCUAUGGCACACUGAUUUGGUCGAGCUUUGUGGUUUAAAGGAUAUACCACGGCCACUGCCUUGACCAUGGCUCAAAUUGGGUUGAUACCCACGACCUCUGCCAUAGUGAUUCCCACAGCCAAAUUUGUUAUAGUGGUCAUGGCCACGUCCUUUCCACCCUCCACGGCCAUGGCCGUGUGGUCUAUCAUUCUAGACGUAGUUACCCUUUUUUUUCUGCGGCCUUAUUGGUAUCAGGUAAUGGGGUUAAUCCAAGAGGUCUCAAUUCACUGUUUCCUAUCAGUAAUCCAUUAUUUUGCCCAGCUAGCAAUAGACUCAUCCACGGACUUAUAGUCCUGGAUUCUGGGAUUCUUCCAAUCAAAUAGGGCUUUUGGUAAUAACACCGUUCUUUGGUGAUCAUAUCUCGAUUUUCUUAACUCUGUCCAAUGGCCUAGAGGAUUCUCUAUAGUCAGAUAUUGAUCUUUGAGACUCUUAAUAAGAUGAUGGCUAAUAAUUAAUAUUACCCUGUAUCAAUCUUUCUCAUUUGGCAUUAUCGCCUUUGUGAUUAAUUCACCAAGUCUUUUGACUUUAGGAUAAACUCAGUAUCCAGUGCUCAUUUCAAAUAAUUAUCUCCUGAGAGAUUUAGGGCAGCAAAAUUCAAGUUGAUUUUCGACAUCUCAAAUCAUAUCAAUCAAUUUUAGAUCUCAUAAAAUAUUUAACAUACGGCCAUAAACAAGACAUGCUAUCAAGUCAAUACAUUUCUAAUAAGCAAAAAAGCCACACGGCCAAAGGUGAUAUAAUGCAAUAAUAAGUCACACAGAUUUAUCAAGCAAGGGUAUCGACCAAACAAGCAAUUUCUAUAUGUUUUCAUGUGGCCAUACGGUUAUAAUGCAAACCUAGCAUACUGAUUCUAUAUGUACAGGAGUGAAAUUAUGAAACCUCAAUUUAAAACAAUCAGAUCAUGCAAAGGUGAUAAUAAUCAGAUCAUGCACAUAACAUAAACAUGUUGGUCAGGAUGAUAUAUGAUGAAAACUGGCCACACGGCCAAGUAGAUAUGAUGCACUCAUUCUUAGCAAUCGGAUUCUAUAUGUGCAAGGGUAAUAUUAAAACAUUCAAUCAAGGUUUAGCAAUUAAUCAAUCAGUUUCAGGUAUGAGAUUUAGCUAGACUAACAAUCAGAUUCAAUUAGGUUUUAUCAAGACUAGCAAUUGGAUCAAUAAUCAAAAAUAAUCAAACGGAUUCAAGCAUUACACAAUUUAGAGUUUCGAUCCAAAAAUAGGGUUUCAAUCAUGAAAAACCAAAACAAUCAGUUUCAAGGCUGAUUCUAUCAAUUUUGUUAAUCAGUUUCAAGGCUGAUAUUUAUCAGUUUCAAAGCUGAUAUUAGCAAGAUGGAAUCAAGCAAUCUGAUUUUAGGAAUACGCAAAUUAUGGUUUAUGGUUUCAAUUCGAAAUUAGAGUUUUAUCAAUCAAUCAGCUUCUAGCAAAUAAUCUUAAACCUUUGAUGGGUUGAAUGAACCACCAAGAGAAUGAGCUUACGUGGACUGGUACAAACUGAAACCUUACGCGGACUGGUCCAAACUGUUUGGUCCAAACUGUUUCCUUGCAGUCUGCGAGCUGAGAUCGGGUACAAGUUGAGAUCGAAAGUGAUUAGGGUUUAUCGAUAGAGAGAGAGAGAUCGAUGGAGAUUCAGAUAGAGAUCAAAAACUUAGCUUCGGUUGAGCUGAUCGGGAUCGUUGGUACGCGAGCUGGUACUUGCAAUCAAAGAACUCAUAGAUCUGGAACAGUUUGAUCAUGGACUGGAACAGGCUGAUCGUACAAUCUGGAAUAGUUGAGGCGUACUAAAACUUGCAGAGAUCAGUCCACGGAUCGAUCUUGUUGAGAUCAGUGGUCGAAUACAGAUCAGGGUCAUGAUCAAAGAGAGAGGUGAACGAUAGAGAUUAGGAUUUUAGCAAUGGAUAGAGAUUUAGGGUUUAUGGUCGAUUUUUUAGCUUAGGGUUUUAGAGAUCAAUCGUGCUGAUAACGUGUUGUGAAAGUAAUGGAAAAGUCUAUCAUUAUUCAUAACAUAGAGGUUCCUUAUAUAGGAUAUUACACCGUCAUAGGUAAAUGGAAAGAUUACAAAUCAUAAUCUCUUGGUUAUGAGCCAUUCACAAUCUGGUUCAUAACACUAAACAAAUAUAUAUACAUUAAUUGUUCUAUUCCAUAUCACCGAAGUAGUAUAAGACUAUAAUUUCACAUACAACCUCUAAAUACUAAACAUACCCCAACCCCUAUAUACUAAACCCUAAAUGUUAAUUAUUGAACCCUAAACCCAAAUAUAAACCCAAUUAUUAAAAUCUGAAAAUAGUAUAUAAUAUUAUGUAAUAUUAAACUAAACUCAUAUCUAACUUUUGAAUAAUAUAGGGCUCUAACCCAACCCACAAAUCCUAAAUGCUAAACCCAAACCUAACUUUUGAAUAUUAAACCCUAAACUGCUAUCACUAAAGCCAAACCUCAACCACCACCUUCUAAAUACUAAACCCUAAAUUCUAAUAACUAAACCUUAAACUCAAAUAUAGACCCUAAACCCAAAUAGAAUAGAACAAAAUAUAUAGUAUAGUCCAUAUUGGUGAACAAAAUAGAACAUUUUUUAUUAAUCGUCAAAUGUAAAGAUAUAUGAUAGGUCACUAAACCCAAACCUCAACCCUCAACUUCCAAAUACGAAACCCUAAAUCUUAAUCACUAAACUCCAACCCAAGUAUAAACUCUAAACCCAAAUAUAAUAGAAAAAAAGACAUAGUAUAGUACAUAUUGGUGAACAAAAUAAUACAUUUUUUAUUAAUUGUCAAAUGGAAGGAUACAUGAUAAAAAAAUAUAGUAACAGACUAUUUCGCAUCACAUAACAUGAAUAGAACAUUCAUAAUACAUAUUGGUCAUUUUUAUUCUAUACACAUAUAAUAUAAUAGAACACAGUGUUACAAGUACUGUCCAUCUUCUCUGAUCAAUUUUAGAUCAUUCACAGCGAUAAAGAUAAGUGUAACUGGCGAAAUCAGUGGGAAUAGUACAUGUAACCGCCUAGUAAACCGAAGAGAUUACGGUGAUUGAAAGAAAAGUUGAUGAACCUCGCGGCGGCGCCGUUUACGUUGUGGCGAUUCCAUAGAUUUCAGAUGUGCGAAGCUUUCCGUCAGUAGCCAAGUGAGCCGUUGCAUAUGGGCAUCUCAUUGGCAAACCUACUCCAUAAAUGGUCUUGGUGGUUACACAAUGGAUCAAUAAUGGAGAAGAAACCACUCACGUUCUACAAGCUAUAUGAUUUUCCAAAGACCACGAUAUACGUGUGUUAGGGAAUUAUUAUUAAUUUAGUUUUUUUUGUUUACAGGUUUUACCGGUUGUGUAAAAGGGAAUAUAAAAGAUACACAGUGUAUUCACUACAAGAAAACAACGGUAUUCUGACGGACAUUCCGACGGAAAAUGAAAUCCUCGGAAUAUCCCGAGAAAUUUCCGAGGAAACACAAAAUUUGGUUUCCUAGGAAUUUCCUCGGAAUAUACAAUUCCGAGGAAAUAUUAAUCCGUCGAAAUAUUCUUAUGGAAUACCGAGGAAAACUGUAUUCCUCGGAAAAAACCGACGAAUUGCGAGGAUAUAUUAUAGCCGUUAGAGAGCCGUUGGGGGAUUUUAAAAAUUUCGAGGAAAUUCCGACGAACUAGCAGUUGGUGUCGGAAUUCCGUCGGAAUUUCCUCGGUCUGUCGGCAGGAUUUCAACUAUAAAUACAAGCACCCCUCUUCCUCUUCAUUCACUCCAUAUCUUCAUCCUCCCUCUUACUCUCUUUACACACUAAUUUGAUUCAUAACUGCACCUUUCUUUUGUUUCCGAGGAUUCUUAUCUUUUGGAACCUAUUUGGUCUACCACGUUUCAUACGUUGUCUAGACUCUGUAGCAACUUGACUGUGUCUCUUCUUGGACAUCAAAUUCGUUGGUGCUUUACAAGCUGGUUUAUAUAUGACUUAGUCAUUCUUUUUCGGGUCAGCAAAUGUGUCUGGCAUUUGAUUAGCUAGCUUUGUAAAUGUAUAAUCUUUGGACAUCUAUUUCACAUUCUUUAGUCUGAUGAAUCAUUCAUUCAUUUAAUCUAAGCAGACAAUGUAAUAGAUAUAAAUUCAAGGAGAUAUAAAUCAGAGAAAGCAUACAAGCAAAGGAAUCACACAAGUUUGAUGUCGAAAUCAGAUUAUCAACUUGAUUCUUUUAGGCAAUCAUAAGUCUCAUACUCCAUAAGAUCAUCUUGAUCAUGUUCGAAAUUAUUUUCACCAUCUUUAUAGACUAAGUGGGUUUCAGGAUUUUUCCCUUUCAGACUCUCUUGGGAGUCCUUCAUAUCUUAGUCCAAUGGUUUCCCAUUCCACAUCUAUGGCACACUGAUUUGGUCGAGCUUUGUGGUUUAAAGGAUAUACCACGGCCACUGCCUUGACCAUGGCUCAAAUUGGGUUGAUACCCACGACCUCUGCCAUAGUGAUUCCCACAGCCAAAUUUGUUAUAGUGGUCAUGGCCACGUCCUUUCCACCCUCCACGGCCAUGGCCGUGUGGUCUAUCAUUCUAGACGUAGUUACCCUUUUUUUUCUGCGGCCUUAUUGGUAUCAGGUAAUGGGGUUAAUCCAAGAGGUCUCAAUUCACUGUUUCCUAUCAGUAAUCCAUUAUUUUGCCCAGCUAGCAAUAGACUCAUCCACGGACUUAUAGUCCUGGAUUCUGGGAUUCUUCCAAUCAAAUAGGGCUUUUGGUAAUAACACCGUUCUUUGGUGAUCAUAUCUCGAUUUUCUUAACUCUGUCCAAUGGCAGACUAGCAAUUGGAUCAAUAAUCAAAAAUAAUCAAACGGAUUCAAGCAUUACACAAUUUAGAGUUUCGAUCCAAAAAUAGGGUUUCAAUCAUGAAAAACCAAAACAAUCAGUUUCAAGGCUGAUUCUAUCAAUUUUGUUAAUCAGUUUCAAGGCUGAUAUUUAUCAGUUUCAAAGCUGAUAUUAGCAAGAUGGAAUCAAGCAAUCUGAUUUUAGGAAUACGCAAAUUAUGGUUUAUGGUUUCAAUUCGAAAUUAGAGUUUUAUCAAUCAAUCAGCUUCUAGCAAAUAAUCUUAAACCUUUGAUGGGUUGAAUGAACCACCAAGAGAAUGAGCUUACGUGGACUGGUACAAACUGAAACCUUACGCGGACUGGUCCAAACUGUUUGGUCCAAACUGUUUCCUUGCAGUCUGCGAGCUGAGAUCGGGUACAAGUUGAGAUCGAAAGUGAUUAGGGUUUAUCGAUAGAGAGAGAGAGAUCGAUGGAGAUUCAGAUAGAGAUCAAAAACUUAGCUUCGGUUGAGCUGAUCGGGAUCGUUGGUACGCGAGCUGGUACUUGCAAUCAAAGAACUCAUAGAUCUGGAACAGUUUGAUCAUGGACUGGAACAGGCUGAUCGUACAAUCUGGAAUAGUUGAGGCGUACUAAAACUUGCAGAGAUCAGUCCACGGAUCGAUCUUGUUGAGAUCAGUGGUCGAAUACAGAUCAGGGUCAUGAUCAAAGAGAGAGGUGAACGAUAGAGAUUAGGAUUUUAGCAAUGGAUAGAGAUUUAGGGUUUAUGGUCGAUUUUUUAGCUUAGGGUUUUAGAGAUCAAUCGUGCUGAUAACGUGUUGUGAAAGUAAUGGAAAAGUCUAUCAUUAUUCAUAACAUAGAGGUUCCUUAUAUAGGAUAUUACACCGUCAUAGGUAAAUGGAAAGAUUACAAAUCAUAAUCUCUUGGUUAUGAGCCAUUCACAAUCUGGUUCAUAACACUAAACAAAUAUAUAUACAUUAAUUGUUCUAUUCCAUAUCACCGAAGUAGUAUAAGACUAUAAUUUCACAUACAACCUCUAAAUACUAAACAUACCCCAACCCCUAUAUACUAAACCCUAAAUGUUAAUUAUUGAACCCUAAACCCAAAUAUAAACCCAAUUAUUAAAAUCUGAAAAUAGUAUAUAAUAUUAUGUAAUAUUAAACUAAACUCAUAUCUAACUUUUGAAUAAUAUAGGGCUCUAACCCAACCCACAAAUCCUAAAUGCUAAACCCAAACCUAACUUUUGAAUAUUAAACCCUAAACUGCUAUCACUAAAGCCAAACCUCAACCACCACCUUCUAAAUACUAAACCCUAAAUUCUAAUAACUAAACCUUAAACUCAAAUAUAGACCCUAAACCCAAAUAGAAUAGAACAAAAUAUAUAGUAUAGUCCAUAUUGGUGAACAAAAUAGAACAUUUUUUAUUAAUCGUCAAAUGUAAAGAUAUAUGAUAGGUCACUAAACCCAAACCUCAACCCUCAACUUCCAAAUACGAAACCCUAAAUCUUAAUCACUAAACUCCAACCCAAGUAUAAACUCUAAACCCAAAUAUAAUAGAAAAAAAGACAUAGUAUAGUACAUAUUGGUGAACAAAAUAAUACAUUUUUUAUUAAUUGUCAAAUGGAAGGAUACAUGAUAAAAAAAUAUAGUAACAGACUAUUUCGCAUCACAUAACAUGAAUAGAACAUUCAUAAUACAUAUUGGUCAUUUUUAUUCUAUACACAUAUAAUAUAAUAGAACACAGUGUUACAAGUACUGUCCAUCUUCUCUGAUCAAUUUUAGAUCAUUCACAGCGAUAAAGAUAAGUGUAACUGGCGAAAUCAGUGGGAAUAGUACAUGUAACCGCCUAGUAAACCGAAGAGAUUACGGUGAUUGAAAGAAAAGUUGAUGAACCUCGCGGCGGCGCCGUUUACGUUGUGGCGAUUCCAUAGAUUUCAGAUGUGCGAAGCUUUCCGUCAGUAGCCAAGUGAGCCGUUGCAUAUGGGCAUCUCAUUGGCAAACCUACUCCAUAAAUGGUCUUGGUGGUUACACAAUGGAUCAAUAAUGGAGAAGAAACCACUCACGUUCUACAAGCUAUAUGAUUUUCCAAAGACCACGAUAUACGUGUGUUAGGGAAUUAUUAUUAAUUUAGUUUUUUUUGUUUACAGGUUUUACCGGUUGUGUAAAAGGGAAUAUAAAAGAUACACAGUGUAUUCACUACAAGAAAACAACGGUAUUCUGACGGACAUUCCGACGGAAAAUGAAAUCCUCGGAAUAUCCCGAGAAAUUUCCGAGGAAACACAAAAUUUGGUUUCCUAGGAAUUUCCUCGGAAUAUACAAUUCCGAGGAAAUAUUAAUCCGUCGAAAUAUUCUUAUGGAAUACCGAGGAAAACUGUAUUCCUCGGAAAAAACCGACGAAUUGCGAGGAUAUAUUAUAGCCGUUAGAGAGCCGUUGGGGGAUUUUAAAAAUUUCGAGGAAAUUCCGACGAACUAGCAGUUGGUGUCGGAAUUCCGUCGGAAUUUCCUCGGUCUGUCGGCAGGAUUUCAACUAUAAAUACAAGCACCCCUCUUCCUCUUCAUUCACUCCAUAUCUUCAUCCUCCCUCUUACUCUCUUUACACACUAAUUUGAUUCAUAAAAAACAUGUCUUCUUCAAAUUAUUUUCGUUCUUGGAUCGAUCGACCUCAUUUGGAUCCGAACACGAGAUUGCUUACGGAAGAAUACCAACGAGGUAUAACCGAAUUCAUGGGGUUAGUUCACCGACAACCGGAAGCAAAAACAGGUAUGUUAAGAUGUCCUUGCUCUAAUUGUAAAAAUAGAAAGGUUAUUAAAGAGUGGGAUGUUUGGACUCAUCUAUAUUUGAGUGGGUUUACACGAAGUUACAAAAUUUGGUAUCAUCAUGGGGAAACUGAUUAUGAACAUGGUAGUACUAGCGAACCUCAGCCAGCGGUUAGAUUAGAAGAACCAAUUAGAACGGAUGUAGAUUAUGGUGUAGGUACUGAGCAGAUGGUAAAUGAUCAUUUUAGAGGGGAAGAUUUACCCAAUGCAGAAGCUAGGAGAUUUUAUGAUAUGUUGGAUGCUGGAAAGCAACCAUUGUACGAAGGUUGCAGAGAUGGUCAUUCAGCUUUAUCAUCUGCUACAAGAUUGAUGGGCAUUAAAACAGAUUAUAAUUUGGCUGAAGACUGUGUGGAUGCGAUUGCUGAUUUUGUAAAAGGUAUUCUACCCGAGGAUAAUGUAGCUCCUGGUUCAUACUACGAGGUUCAGAAACUCGUAGCUGGUCUUGGUUUAUCGUAUCAGGUAAUAGAUGUAUGCAGCGACAACUGCAUGAUUUAUUGGAGGGCGGAUGAACAGCGGGUUACAUGCAAAUUUUGUGGAAAGCCUCGUUAUAAAGAUACGAGUGGAAGAGUUCCAGUGCCAUAUAAAAGGAUGUGGUAUUUACCUUUGACGGAAAGGUUGCAGAGGUUGUAUCUGUCUGAACGCACAGCGCAACCAAUGAGAUGGCAUGCGGAGCACUCAACAGAUGGUGAGAUCAGACAUCCUUCAGAUGCAAAAGCGUGGAAGCAUUUCCAAUCAAAGUAUCCCGACUUUGCGUAUGAGAGAAGAAAUGUCUACCUUGGAUUAUGUACUGAUGGUUUCAGUCCGUUUGGCAAGAGUGGAAGACAGUAUUCUCUAUGGCCCGUCAUUCUUACACCAUACAACCUACCCCCAAACUUGUGCUUGCGACGAGAGUUUUUGUUUCUCUCGAUUCUCGUUCCCGGACCAGAGCAUCCUAAGAGAUCACUUGAUGUGUUUCUUCAGCCACUAAUAUAUGAGUUGCAACAACUAUGGGCUCAAGGUGCUGAAACAUACGAUGUUUCGUGUAAAGAAAACUUUCAAAUGCGGGCAGUACUAAUGUGGACAAUAAGUGAUUUUCCAGCAUAUGGUAUGUUGUCUGGAUGGACAACGCAUGGAAGGCUAUCAUGUCCAUAUUGUCAAGAUAACACUGAUGCUUUCCAACUAAAACACGGAAGGAAAACGUGUUGGUUUGACUGUCACAGGAGAUUCCUACCACCUGAUCAUCCAUAUCGUAGGAGUAGGAAUUUGUUUACGAAGAACAAGAGGGUGUUUGACAGUCCACCUCCGGAAAUUUGUGGGAAAGAUUUGAAGAUACAACUAAGAGAUUUUGGUGCAGAAAGGACGCCAGAAGUCGGUGGACAUGAGCGUUUUCCGGUAGAUGCUGUUGGAGAACUACAUAACUGGCACAAAAAAAGUAUUUUCUGGGAUCUGCCAUACUGGGAGGAUCAUCUGCUAAGGCAUAAUUUAGAUGUCAUGCAUAUUGAGAAGAACUUUUUUGACAAUCUCAUGAACACGAUCCUUAAUGUUCAAGGUAAAACAAAGGAUAAUUUGAAGUCAAGACUGGAUUUAGUCGAUAUAUGUGCUCGUUCAGAACUUCAUGUUGAUGAGAAUGGUAGGGCUCCUUUUCCCAUAUACCGACUUGAUGCAGCGGGAAAAGAUGCGUUCUUUGAUUGGAUUUCAAACGAUGUGGAAUUUCCAGACGGUUACGCAUCAAAUUUGCGUAACUGUAUCGACAGAAAGGAAGGAAAGUUUACUGGCUUGAAAAGCCACGAUUGCCAUGUAAUGAUGCAGCGCCUCCUUCCGUUCGCCUUCAAGGAACUAUUACCACGAAAUGUUCAUGAAGCAAUUGCAGGGAUAAGUGGUUUCUUCCGCGAUUUAUGCACGAGAUCAGUGACUCUUGAAGGUAUUGAAAAUUUGAAGACUAACAUAGCCGUGAUUCAGUGCAACCUUGAGAAGAUAUUUCCUCCCUCAUUUUUUGAUGUUAUGGAGCAUCUUGUUAUUCACCUGGCAAGAGAAUUGGAACUUGGUGGUCCUGUGCAGUAUAGAUGGAUGUAUCUGUAUGAGCGGUAUAUGUUCCAUUUGAAGAAGAUGGUGAAAAAUUUAAGUAGGGUGGAAGGUUCUAUAGUCGCACAGAUGAUCAAUGAAGAAACUUCAAACUUUGCCGAGUACUACUUUCCAGCAGAAGUUCAGACCAAAAACAGAAGACCUGCUCGGCAUGAUGAUAGAGGCGAACGGGCAACAUAUCAUGUUACGGUUCCAGACAUUUUCACAGACGUUGGACGACUUAGCGGAAAACCAAAGGACCGUCGACUUACUGAGCAGGAGCGCAGUAAUUUGCAAACAUAUUUGCUCACCAACUGCGAAGAUGUUCUUCAAUAUGAGAGGUAAAUAAAUUAGCUUACAAAUUUUUAUUUUAACAAGUUGAAAUUUAAAUCUUAAUUAAUUACAUUAUUGUCAUCAUAUGUACAGGAUUUUCAUGGCAGAAAAGAGGUUCGAAUAUAGAUACGCCACAGAGGACGAACUAGAAGAAAUUAAGCAGAGAGAAUUUUCUGGAUGGAUGUUUACUUAUGUGAGUGCUUUAAACAAAUUAAAAUAUCAGCUAUCACAUAUUUAUACUAAUUCACAUUUAUUGACAUAAUAUAUAUAUGUGCUAUUAAUAUAGGUAUCUGCUGGUUUGGCCAGAGGUGAAACAUUUGACGAUUGGAUACGCGAGAUGGUCGUUGGACCAAAAUUUGUUGUGAAGUCAUAUCCGAGAUUUUGUACUCGAGGAUAUGCAUUCACAACUCAGAAGAGGAGACGUUCGAGUACGACUUAUGAUGCUGGCGUUUGUUCUGCAUCAGGAGAUGAUGUAUACUACGGACACAUACAUGAGAUUUUGGAAAUCAAGUAUUUGGGCAUGGUUGGAUUGCGCUGUACUGUUUUCUAUUGUGAUUGGCACGACAACACUCUAGAUCGAGGUGUGAGAACAGAUGCAUUUGGUGUUACCUCAGUAAAUUCGAGGUGAAAGCUGCAAUAUUAUGAUCUCUGGCGGCUCCUCUCCCUCCUCUCCGGCGAUCUCCCCCUUCUCCCCGACGAUAUCUCCGGCGAUCUCCCCCUUCUCUUACACAAAUCAUGUAAGGACCCUAUCUCAGUCUCUUAGGUUCUAUUUGUUAGGUUUUUGUGUAGAUUUGAUAGAUUUUUGUUAGGAUGAUUGGUUAGGAUUGUGAUUUGGUUGUAUAAUAGGUUUAGAAUUGUGAUUUGGUUGAAUAAUUUGUUUUGUUGAAUUGAUUUAGAAUUUUUUUAUAAUUUUUUAAUUUUUUGUGUAGUUUUGGUAGAUUUUUGUUAGGGUGAUUGGUUAGGAUUGUGAUUUGGUUGUAUAAUAGGUUUAGAAUUGUGAUUUGGUUGAAUAAUUUGUUUUGUUGAAUUGAUUUAGAAUUUUUUUAUAAUUUUUUUNNNNNNNNNNNNNNNNNNNNNNNNNNNNNNNNNNNNNNNNNNNNNNNNNNNNNNNNNNNNNNNNNNNNNNNNNNNNNNNNNNNNNNNNNNNNNNNNNNNNNNNNNNNNNNNNNNNNNNNNNNNNNNNNNNNNNNNNNNNNNNNNNNNNNNNNNNNNNNNNNNNNNNNNNNNNNNNNNNNNNNNNNNNNNNNNNNNNNNNNNNNNNNNNNNNNNNNNNNNNNNNNNNNNNNNNNNNNNNNNNNNNNNNNNNNNNNNNNNNNNNNNNNNNNNNNNNNNNNNNNNNNNNNNNNNNNNNNNNNNNNNNNNNNNNNNNNNNNNNNNNNNNNNNNNNNNNNNNNNNNNNNNNNNNNNNNNNNNNNNNNNNNNNNNNNNNNNNNNNNNNNNNNNNNNNNNNNNNNNNNNNNNNNNNNNNNNNNNNNNNNNNNNNNNNNNNNNNNNNNNNNNNNNNNNNNNNNNNNNNNNNNNNNNNNNNNNNNNNNNNNNNNNNNNNNNNNNNNNNNNNNNNNNNNNNNNNNNNNNNNNNNNNNNNNNNNNNNNNNNNNNNNNNNNNNNNNNNNNNNNNNNNNNNNNNNNNNNNNNNNNNNNNNNNNNNNNNNNNNNNNNNNNNNNNNNNNNNNNNNNNNNNNNNNNNNNNNNNNNNNNNNNNNNNNNNNNNNNNNNNNNNNNNNNNNNNNNNNNNNNNNNNNNNNNNNNNNNNNNNNNNNNNNNNNNNNNNNNNNNNNNNNNNNNNNNNNNNNNNNNNNNNNNNNNNNNNNNNNNNNNNNNNNNNNNNNNNNNNNNNNNNNNNNNNNNNNNNNNNNNNNNNNNNNNNNNNNNNNNNNNNNNNNNNNNNNNNNNNNNNNNNNNNNNNNNNNNNNNNNNNNNNNNNNNNNNNNNNNNNNNNNNNNNNNNNNNNNNNNNNNNNNNNNNNNNNNNNNNNNNNNNNNNNNNNNNNNNNNNNNNNNNNNNNNNNNNNNNNNNNNNNNNNNNNNNNNNNUGCUCAAUCUAUUGCCUCUCUGGGAGAUCGCAUGGUAAGUUCAGCCGCUUUUUCUUCAAUUAUUUAAGUUUUGAAUUUUUUUUUUUUUGCAUUUCUUCUAAUUUCUAAUGUUUGUUUAAUUUAUUUUUUUUCAAGGCGGAAGAAAAUGAAGGCGAGCCGGUUGAUGAUCUCGCCCUCAUGAAGAGGGCGUAUACCAACAAGAAUACCGGCCAGAUUGAUGACAUCCCUGUGAGGAAAGUGGUCACCCUAGUCCAAACUCAGGUGCAAGACGAAGUGUCUCAACUUCAAACCGAGGAUGACACUUCGACGGCUUCGACCAACUUGUCCCGGUUUCGAAUCAACGAAAUCGUUGAAUCCGUAAGUUCUUUUUUUUAAAGUUCAAUUCAUUUAUUUCUUGAUUUAAAUUUGGCUAUUUUCUAUUUCAGUUGGUUCCAAAGAAGAAGGGACGUUUGAUCGGUUUGGGUCGUCGCACCCGGUCGGUUCCUCCUUCUUCUGCACCACCGCCCUUUGUUGAUCCAGAAGUACUUACGGCUCAGUUGAAGGACAAUGAUCGCAUAUGAGGCACAGAGGAGGUUGAACCAGUAAAUGAUAGAGAUGAUGCAGAGGAUGUACCCGAACGAGGUGUUCCCGAACGUGCCAGACCCGUAGUUUUUUUUUUUCAAAAACUCGGAAUGUUUUAUUUUUAUUUGCACAACUUUGAAUAUUAUCUAAUAUGUUUUCAAUUUUAAUUUUAAUUUUUUAUUUUCGAAUUUAAAUUUCAAAACUUUUAUUUUUUUAAAAAAAAUAAUUUUUUCUUAAAAUUCCGAGGAAAUGAACUCUCGGAAUAUACCGAGGGAAAUGUUCCUCGGAAUAUUCAGAGGGACUCGUUCCUCGGAAUUUUCCGAGGGACUCGUUCCUCGGAAUUUUCCGAGGGCUCAGUUCCUCGGAAAUUCCCGAUGACAAUUCCGAGGAACAUUUCGUCGGAACUUCCGAGGAUUGUACCAUCGGAAAAUCCAUCGAAAUAUCCCGAGGAAGUUUUCCUUCGGUAUAUUCCGAGGAGCUUUCCGAAGAACUGGUGGUCCUCGGAGUUUCCUGUCCAUGGCGGCGGCAGUGUGUGAGCUUAAGGGGUUGAAACGGCUCUUCACUACAAGAAAACAGCGAGAUACGGAGGGAAAAUUUCGUCGGUAUGUCGUCGGAAUAACUUUAUUCCGACGACAUACCGACGAUUUUUUCCCUCAGUAUCUCGUUGUUUUCUUGUAGUGAUUGGUGUAUUAGGGUAUUUAGACAUACAAUGAAUUAUAAUUUGUUUGAUGGUUAUGGAGCCCAAAUUCCCUUUAGUAAUCAAAUCUUUGUAAUAUCUUCCAAAAAUGAAUGUUGUUUUAGGCAUACAUCAUAAGCCGGAACGAAAAGAGAGUGAAAUAUCAAUAUUCUCAUUGAAAACUUCUAACAUGAUAAUAGACGGUAAUAUCAAAUUAGAUCAAACGUGAAAUAAACAUUUUAUUGGAACUACAACAUGUAGUUUAUUCUUUUUCUCAAACGUUAAAAAAAAAAACACAUGUAGUAACUUCAGAAACCAUAUUUUGUAUGUGUGUGUACUAAAAUAUUAUUGGAAACACAAAGGAAACAACAAUAUAGAUUCAGAUCAGGUUCAGCCAUUUUGUUCAGAUCCUUAAAUGGCUCAACGAAUUGUUCCCAUCACGUUUUCUAGCCACAUAGUGGUUGGAGGCUUCCGAAGUGGUUUCCCUGUACUUGGGAGGGUUUUCUUCUGACAAAAGCUCUUUAAUGGGUCCAUAAACUCUCGGACUUGUUGAAGGAGGAUGCACAAAGAAAGAUGCAACCGAAGUGCGUGGCUUUUUACCUCCAUUUGCCAAAACUCUAUGCUCCACACUCACAAACUUGUCAUUCGUCAUAAGCUGCAAAAAAAAAAACACUAUGAAGACCUUGUUUUCUUACUAAUUAUGGACCGUUUGAUUAUGAGUAAACAACAACUUGCCUGUAGGAGAUCUCCAACAUUAAGGAUAAGAGCAUUAGGAUUAGGAGGAACAUCGAUCCAGUAUCCAUCAUGGAGAACUUGAAGUCCUCCAAUAUGGUCUUGAAGAAGUAUAGUGAUGAAAGAUCUGUCUGUAUGCUGAGUGGCGCCGACCGUUAGGUCUGGCUGAGGACACGGCGGGUGACAAUGACAGAGCAUCAACAAGCCUUUUGCACAAUCCAUUUCUUUGAGGUGGUUAGGCUUCAGCCCUAAGGAUUCUGAUAUGAGCUCAAAUAUUAACUCCCCAAACAUCAUCACUCUCUUUGAGUAGUCCAACAUGAUCUCCCUAAAACAUUGAACAUAAAUAAACUCUCAAAACCCAUCAAACAAAAAUAUUAAGUUAGUCCAAAGAUUAAUUUAAAACAAGAGAAGCCGUGUUCGUACCUACAAAUGUCUGGUAACUCAUCGGUUUUGGGAACAUCAGGGAACAUAAAACAACUUAAGGUAUCUCUCCAGCUCGCAGCAGGAGCGUCAUAGAGAUCAGAGUUCGUGUUAUACUAAUCGCUUUGGUUUUUUCACGGCUAUAGAACCUUUUCCUCGCUUCUGGAUCUUGCUCGUGAAACGCACGGAUCCCUUCUUUCAUCUUCUCCAUGACCUCGAGUGGAAUCCCAUGGUUGAUCGCCUGGAAGAAACCGAACUUAUCCAUGGCGUCUUUAACCUUCUUAGCCACUUCCUUUCUUGUGACCGUGGACUCGAACACGCCACCUCCGAGAUCUAUUGUUGGGAUUGUCAACGUAGAAGGAGGUUUAGCGUUAGUUACCGUGGCUUGCGGGUUAUGGAACAUGAGUGGAAUUUUUGUGAUUCCAGCGUCGACGAGACCCUUCACGCCGAUUUUCAUCUCGUCGAAUGCUUGUACCUCGCCGGCACGGUUAAAUGUUCCCACCAUUGUACACUUGGACUCCAACCUUUUUUUUAGUGCUUUAUGAAACAGGGAAACUUGUGUUUUGAGUCACCUAGCUCUGUCUCUAUAUAUAAGGAGGGAAAACUGGUGAAGGCAUGAAAUAGAGCGCUAAGAGAAGGAGAUAUAUUGAGAUACCGUCUGUAUUAUUAAUAUCAUAAAAGAUAUUAUCAAUUUUAUAUCAUAUUAUUAAAAAUUAUUAUCAUAUCAUCGAGAUGUGUAUCUUUUAGGUUAUGAACGGAAACCAUAGUGCGGUGCAUAUUUGGAAUUGAUAUCCUUUUGAAGUUACAAAUGUCAGCAACCAUAGUGCGGUGCAUAUUUGGAAUUGAUGUGAUUUUAAAAUUAUAAGUGUCAGCAGUAACAAGUAAAAAUGCUAUCUCAAGAAUGUGUUUUACAAAAUAACUAGCUUAAAGACUGGCGCAAUUGCGCGGGAUAAAAGUUAUAUAUAAAACUAAUUUUUAUCUAUUAUUAUUUAUUGUAUUUAUUUACGUAUUAAGUAUACAACUAAAUUAGAGUAAAUACAUAAAUCAAAACAAUACAUCUUAUUUAUUUACGAUAUUGUUUUGGUAAAUAAAUCAAAACAAUCAUUUUAUUUAUUUAUAUGGUAUGUAACUAAAUUUUAAUGACAUGGACAUAGAUAUAUAGUAUAUUCUAAUGUGCUAUUUUUUGAAUGGACAUUUCAAAAUUAAAAUAUUAAGGUUUCAAUACUUUUUCAAUACAAAUUUAGAAAGUAUCAUAUUUAAGUAUUUUUCUAUGUUAUAUAGUUCAAUUUUAGAAAAUUAGGAGCUAUACCAAAAGAUUUUUACGUAUUUAGUGAUAUACCCAUUGAAUCAAAACUGUCACUGUUCGAAGUGCUUUUUUACUCUGCUACCCCUACAGCACAAACAUCUCAUUAUCCGCUAAAAUCGUAGACCAAAUCUUCUAUUUGGAUACGAAAAGAUCUAUCACUCUGUCACGUUAUUCUCUUCUGUAUCUUUUGUCAGGUUGCAUUUCAUUUCACUGCAGUACGAUAGAAUUAAAAAAAACGAAAAUUUAAGAUUUGAGAUUUCUCUCCCAUUUUGUUCUACUAUUCAGCGAAACCAGUCACCGUGACGGUCAGUAUGGGGGAGAAAGAUGGAACGCAGAUGGCUGCUGUGUCUUUGGUGAAUCUCUCCUCCGCUGCGUCUCCGGUGAAGCUCUCCGCCGCUGCGUCUCCGGUGAAGCUCUCCGCCGCUGCGUCUCCGGUGUAACUCUCCGCCGCUGCGUCUCCGGUGAAGUUCUCGAUCUCUGUGUCCCUGGUCAAGCUCUUGCACCCUGCGUCUCCAGUGAAGCUCUCCGCCGCUGCGUCUCUGACGUAGUUCUUCACCGAUGUUUCUCCACUUCAUAUAUAUGUUAUAUAUGUUGUACGGUUGACGUGUCAUAUAAGAUCUUCUUAUUCGUUAACCGCGUAAAUAGUAUAUUGACUCUAUAACAAUUUGACAUUAAAAAAUCGGAUUUUAAUCUCAAGUAACUCAUUUUUUAAAGAAAUAUAUAUAAUAUUAAUUGUCUAACAAUUUGUCAUGAUCAAUGAAAACAUUGCCUAAACAUUACUCGUAUAUUCAUUUCAUAUGUCAUAGUUAUGAUCUUGAUUCUUAUAAACUUAUGUGCCUGUAAUAUGGAUUCAAACUUUAUGACCGGUCAAUAUUUACAACCGACGAGUAAUUCUAACAAUACUCGGCUAAGAUGAACUUCAAUACAUUAUCGCUUAGGGUGCACGGACAAGUUAUCCGAUUAACAAGAUACAUACCUGUAUAAGAAAUCAGUUUUGUAGAUAAUUUGUUUACACUUACGUGGAGGUAUAGGGGUAGGGUUGGGAAUAAGUGUGUUGGUAUAAGGAUUUAGAUAACCACACCAAAAAAUGCGACACCUGAAACCCUUAAUAAUAAACGCUUAACCCAAACGAUAAAUCCAAUGUCCUGAACCCAAAACCCUAAACCCAAAAUACUAGAUCCUAAACCCAAUAGGAACCCCAGAACCUAAUCCUAGUGACUAAACCGUAAACAAUAAACCUAAAAUACUAAACCCUAAAUCCAAAAUACUAAACCCUAAACCCAAUAGGAUCCCGGGAACCCAAAACCAAAUGUCUAAUCCCUAUUGUAUUUAGGUUUUAGUCUUUUGGGUUUAGGGUUUAGGGAUUAGAGAUUAGGGUUUGGGUUCAGGGGUUCCUAUUGGUUUUAGGGUUUAGGGUUUGGGGUUUAGUGACUAGAGUUUAGGUUCGGGGGUUACUAUUGGGUUUCGGGUUUAGUGACUAUGGUUUGGGUUCCAAGCUUCCUAUUGGGUUUAUGGUUUGGUAUUUUGGGUUUAAGGUUUAGUAUUCAGGGCAUUGGAUUUUUUGUUAACCUAUGUAUCCGUAAUAUAGAAACAAUCGAAUUGGCCGGUCAAUAGUUACAACACUCGGUUCACUCAAAAAAUAUCCGGCUAAGCAGAUAUUUUAAACGUUAUCGUUUUAGGUGAACGGAUAUGUUAGCCGGUUAAAUCGAUAGUAAACUGUAUACGAAUUUAUUUUUCUACAUACCUUGUUUACACUAACAUUUAGGGCGGAGGUGGUAAAGUUGAGAAUAAGGGUAUAAGAUUUAGGAUAUAGUAAUAAGGGUACAAAGUUUAGUGUUUGGGUUUAGAGUAUAGUAAUGUAUAGAGUUUAGUCUUAUCCUAGUUAGAAGUAUUAUUAAUGAUAAAUAGUAUACGGUUAAUAUAUAUUGUACCUGGUGCAAAUAAAAUAUUGGCCGGCUAAUAUUUUAUGGUCUUGUCAUAACAUUGUAGCUGGGGCAACAAAAAAUUUGACCGACGAAUAUUAUAUUUACAUAUCUAAAUAACAAAAAUAAUUAAUUGUGUGGCUACAAAUUAUUAUUGUGAUGGCUCAGCACUCUUCGAACUUAGGGAGAAUCAUGCGAGUGCUGAUGAAGCGAACGACCCUAUGAAUCAAAAUCUGUAUAACAUCUGGUUCGACUUCUGAAUGUUUUAAAUCUGCAGAAUUCUGAUAAAAAACAGACAAUUGCACAUUAAAUUGAUUUACCAUGUGUAGACCGCUCACAUUUGGUCAGUUUUUUGGAAUUCAUUAGAAGAAUAAAUAAAAUAAGCAGAGGAGGAAUCAAGAGGAGGAAGUAAGAGUAUGAAGAAAGAGAAUAAAAAAAAAAUCUCUGACAAAUCUUUUGUUGGAUUUGGGUUACAGCUGCGCCGUAUGUUGUAUUUUGGUUACUGAUGCAAAUUCAUAUAAUAUAAACGAAAUUUUUAUAUUAUCUUGCUAAAUUCACUUAGAUAUCUUCUGUCAGAAAAAAGAUCCUAAGAGUCUAAGACCUGGAAGAUGAGUUUUCAAGCGUCCAGGGUAUUGCCGUCUUUUUGAUUCGUUACUGCCUGCCACGUAUGCUCAUCUUUUCCUUCGUUGGCAUUCUCUUAAUUUAGCGAUUUUUCUAUGUUUUUCACCUAAAUUGCUCUUAAUUUUAAACUAUAUUAAUAUAUAAUACGAAUGUCUAGUAAAUGAGACUUCAUAUUCAUACGAUUUAUGAUUAUUUGUAUCUUUUUAUUACAAAAAAAAUUAUACUGUUGAUCACAAAAUUUUAGUGUGAGAUAUUUAACGUUUUUAGUAAUUUAUAGUCAUUUUAAAAAUUCAAAAUAUAACAUAUAAGAAAAAAAUUAAUUUUUUUAUUAUAUGAUUAAUGUGAUUGUUUAAUAUCUUUUAAUAAUAUAAAAUUAAACAAAAAAGAGCUAAGAUACAAAAAUUAUUAUCAAAUAUUUAUUAUUUAUAAUUAUUGAUUGUCAUAUAUACGUUAAUCAUAUUAGACAAUUCCGUAGCAUUUAUGUAAGGAAAGUGUGAGAAUAUUCUUUUGUACACUAUUUAUUAAUUUAAUAGUUAGUUUAAUAAAAAUUAUAAUAUAAGUUAAGAUAGACCAACCUAUUUUCUAAGAAUUCUGAAUUUCAUUCUCAUAGUGACACGUAACCACAAAACAACGUUCUAAUGUUUCUCAAUUAAUAUAUAAGGGAUGCAGUCACAAAAAUAUAUUUUGUUGUUUAUUCCAUCCGAAUAACGCGACUUUCACACAUUAUUACUUGUUAGUGUGGUACAGUGCUGUAUGUAUUUUCUUAUAAUAAACUAAACAAAUUAUUAUUAAAUUUAUAAAUAUUUGAUUUUUGAUAAAAUCAUACAUGAUAAUUUUUCAGUUAUGUAACUAUUCAAAACUAGUUAACUUAAAGAUAAAAACAAUCAAGUUAUUAACUUAUUUUUAUGCUUUUCAUUUUUAACACUAUAAAAACUCAUUUUCAGAACAAUAAUCAAAUAGACUUAAUAACUGUAAUAAUUUUAUGAUCUUAACAGACUAAACAUGUAACAUAUUUUAAGUUAUUUUAUAUUUAACAAUGAGAUUUUAUCAUCAGAUUUUAAGGACACCAGCAGCGGUAGAGACCCACCAAAGUCUCUCGACCAGAAAUAAUUAUGAGCAAAAAGCAGUAACUAAAAUAGUAAACUUACAAAUGACACAUAGUUUGUUACGAUUUUAGCAAAGCCUCUUCACGAAGAGACGAUCCUUGUGCUUUUCUACUCUUUUUUUUUUUUCAUUUUUCUAUUAUUUUAAUAUACGAAAAACUUUUUCAGAAUUGAUCCAAUGCUGAUGGCCUAAGGGCAUCCGCAUUAAUGGUCUUUGAUGCAGUAUCUUAACAAUGUAAUAAUGUAAAUAAUUGUAAAAAGAAGAGCAAGUGAGAAAAUGAUGAAAGACGUCUCUCGAGAAAGAAAUUCACCGAAAUUGUAGAGAAACUAUGUUGCUAGUUCCUAAUUUAAUUGGCUUAACUUUUUUUCUUUUUAAAAUUUAAUAAUAUAUAUAUAUUAAUACAUUUAAGUGUAGCCACGUGUUAUUACUAAGAUGACUCUCAAAAUCUUUAGAAAAAUAGGUUGGUCCAUCUAAAUAUAGAUUAUAUUUUUUUAUUAAACUAUGAUAAGAUAUGCGCCUUGCGGAAAGUGAGUUUACAAAAUUAAAAUAUAAAAUAUAUGGUUUUGACAAAUUUAAGAUUUAUAUAUGAUUGGUUAUAUAUAUAUAUAAUUAUAUAUAUAUAUAUAUAUAUAUAUAUCUUUGGGUUGUUUUUGUAAUCAUAUAUAUACAUUGGACGGAGAAUAAUUAUAAUUGGAAUUGUGUAUCAAAAAUAAUAAUUUCUUAUGGGGCCAAUUUAUUUGGAUAUUUUAAAGUCAUACUAAUAAAAGUAUUUUCUAUUUUGUUUUAUUAACUUAUUGAUGAUUAAGAUUUGAACAUAAUCGAAAUUAGUGUAAGAAUUUGGAAUGUUAACAUUAAUUUUUUAUUUAACAACAUAAAAUGGAAAAUCCCCUAUAUAAAAAAAUACAGAUUGGGUUAACCUAUAAUUAGUAAAUAAUAUACUGAUGAGCCAUAUUAAAUUAAUAUUUGGAGACGACAUUUUUUAUUGCUUUAAAUCUGAAGAUGGAUAGAUAUCUCGAAGAAUGAUGGUUUUGUUUGAGAACAACCCCUAGGUUAUAUAGGAUUGCUUGUUAUGUUUAAAUUAUAAUAGCAUUAACUAUUUCGUACAUCGAAUAUAUAUUUUUUCCCUAGCUUCCGAAUUGUUUUGGGUAUGACAUUACUUGGUGCCAAAGUUUUAUUAGUAUUAAAUAUAAAUUACCAUUAUUUGCUCAAGGUGGAGUGACGAUCAAGCAUAUAUUUUUGAUGUAUAUAAUAGUUUGUGGAUCUAGCUUUGUGUAUUUAUUUAUUUCCUUGUUGACUAAAGACAUAAUAUAUAAUUACCUAAAUUCCCUUAAGUAUAUGAGUGUGUUACACUGUCCAUAAAUUUGAUACGGAUAUUUAUUGACUACAGUUCGGUUAAAUUAAAAUUUAAAUAAAUCUUCACCGGCAUCGAAAUAGUAUAAAGCGGAUAUCCAUUAUAUUUUCCAUUGAUAUUAGUCUAAAAUAUAUUCCAUCGUUCUAUAUAUUCGUAUACAACCACUGCUUGAAUAUUAAAAGAAAAUCACACCCUACUCAUCGGCUUUAUAAUCAAUUUAGACUGAUUGUAGACAAUAUAUAAUGUUACUAUACAAAAAAAACACAUUGGACUGCUAAUUCAUUCUGUGGUUUGAAGAACGCAUGAUAUGAUCAAAUUUCCAAACGAAACCAUAUUCAAAUGAUUUGUAGAAUGUAUGAUAUGAUGACAUUCGAAUGACAUAAUCAUAAAAAUGUGUUUCAGUGUGUUCCAUAUACAAUAUAUAUAUAUAUAUAUUAGUCUGAGUAGUAAGUUAAUGAGAUCGCCGAGUAUUAAGUCUAUCAUAUACAUUUAUGUUUGGGUUAAUAUAAGUUUUAUUAACAAUUGAAUUUUGAACUUACUAAUUUUUCAAUUGAUUCUUAUGCUACCAUGUAAGCCUAAUUGACAUCUUAAUUAAGUGACACAUAAGUAAUAAUCUUUUUUAAUUAAUAUAAACUUAAGGUUACAGCUUAUUAAAUAAUUUUCUAUUAAUAUAUAUGGGAUGAUAAGUAUCGAUGUAUCGGUCGUAACAAUGUUUAGAGUCAGAUUUUUUUAAUGUUAAGUUAUUUAAUUUCCCAGAAAAUAUUUUUUAAUCAAUAGUUUGUCCAAGUUAUUGUGAGGCUGCCACGUAAGCAAUAAAAUGAUGUUAGGUUAUGACACCUCACCAAGUCUAAAAUGUAAUUAAUAAAAAAUUAAAGUUAUAUCUUUUAAAUGAUCCUCAAAUAAUAUAUAGGAGAUUAACUAUCAAAUUGAUUAGUAGUGCAUAAAAGAACAUUCUCAAUUCUUUCCUUAAAUAAAAGCUACAAAAUUACCUAAUAUGAUUAAUAUAUAUAUAUGACAAUUAAUGAUUUUGAAUAAUAAAGAUUUGAUAAUAUUUUUUGUAUCAUCCAUCAUUUUUGUUUAAUUUAUAUUAUUAAAAAAAUAACAAUCACAUUAACUAUAUAAUAAAAAAAUCUAGAUUUUUUUUCUUAUAUGUUAUAUUUGAAUUUUUUUAAAAUAAUUAUAAAUUAAUAAAAUUGUUACAAGUCUUACACUGAGAAUGUUAUGAACAAUGGUUUUACUCUUUUUGUUAUAAAACGAUACAAAUGAUCAUACAAUCAUAUAAACUGAAGUAUCAUUUAAUAGAUAUUCAGAUUAAAUAUUGAGAAAUUCCCUAGAAUAACUUUUUUUAAGUUUUUGUCACAAAAAUAGCACUCAAUGAACAAAAUGACCAAAAUAAGUUUUAUCAAAGGGUAAAACUACAUUUUAACCCUAGGGUUAACUAAUCUAGACUUAAGGUUUAGAGUUAAGGUGUGUGGUUUUAGGGAUAGGAUUUCAAUUGUUUUUAAAAAAAAAAAAAAUUGAAAUUUUCAAAAUAAAAAGGGGCUAUUUUGGUUUUUUUCUUUCUUGAGAGCUAUUUUGUGACAAAAACUUAAAAAAUGGCUAUUUGAGAGAAUUGCCCUUAAAUAUAUAUAUAUAUAUAUAUAUAUAUAUAUAUAUAUACUUUAAUCUCCUAUAAAUUAAACUAUAUACCGUAUAAAAAUACAUAUACAUUAAUUUCAUAAUUUCAUUGAAAAGGUAUUGCGACCUGAAUAUUUUAAUUUUGAAAUUUACAUUGAAUUUUUUAAAACGAUUAUAAAUUACUAACACUAUAAAAAAUCUCACACAGAAAAUUUUGUGAUUAAUGGUUUAAAUUUUUUGUUACAGAAAAUAUAAAAAUGUUAAUAAAAUCAUAUCAGUAUGAACUAGGAAGGUUCAAUUAAAUAUUCAUACUAAAUGUACUAUGUAUGUCAAUACAUUUAAAUUUAAUUUUACCAUAUAAAAUAAAUAAAAUGAUUGCUUUGAUUUAUUUACUUUGAUUUAUGUGCUUACUGCAGUUUAAUUAUGUACAUAAUAUUUACUCAUUUCCCAAUUAUUCAUUACAUUUAUUAUUUCAUAAUACUUAAAUGAACACAAAAUAAAUAAUGAUAUGUAAAAAUAAUUUGUAUAACUAAUGAUAAUCCCGCGCAAUGCGCAUGUCUUUGUUGAUGUAUUAAAGUCGGAUAUUCUCUCAAUUGAUUGAAACUAAUGUUUUCAGAGAAAGCUUGCGCGAAAAUAAAAUUCAAAGACAAAACAAAUGUGGGUUAAUAGAAACGUUAUUGUAAGCACAAAUAUUACAGAUUUAAACAAGAAAUCACCUGUGGAGAGUCAAAGUAGUAUGAGAUCAACCAAAACCCUAAUUUCCUUUUCGAUUGCCAGUCAGUAUUUUCAAUGUUUGUCGUUUCUAUAUCUGGUAAAAGAGUGGACCAAAAAUGAAAUUUUUUUAUGUAUUGUUUCAACUCCAACGUUUAAUUAAUUGGGCUUUUACGAAAACAAUUUAUCAACACUUGGCCCGAUACGCAGCAUCAUAUAUUAUAGUAUAAGUCUAUAACAUGUAACAUCUUUUGGACUUAUGAAACAAUGUAAUUGUUUAGAAAGAACAAAGUUAAUAUACAGCAAUCGUUAGCCAUUAAAAUUGACUCUGCACAUGCGAGUGGGUUAUCAACUAAUUAUUAUUAUAUUGGAAAAAAUUCAGAUUGAGAGUAUGUACCGAUGUUGUUGCUCUAAGUUUUCUAUUGAAUUAUAUGAUAAUCAAUUUAGUAAUAAAAUCUUUGUAAUAUCUAACAAAAAUAAAUGUUAGGCAUACAUCGUAAGCAGGAACAACAAGAGAGUGAUAUAUAUCAAUAUUCUUUUUGAAAACUUCUCACAUGGUAAUAGAGGGGAUUAAAUAGACGGUCAUAUCUUAUUAGAUCAAACGUGAAAUAAACAUUUUAUUGGAAGUACAACAUGUAGUUUAUUCUUUUUCUCAAACGUAAAAACAAAACAUGUAGUAACUUCAGAAACCAUAUUGUGCAUGUGUGUGCACUAACGUUUUAUUGGAAACAAAAAGGAAACAACAACAGAGAUUCAGAUCAGGUUCACCCAUUUUGUUCAGAUCCUUAAAUGGCUCAACGAAUUGUUCCCAUCACGUUUUCUAGCCACAUAGUGGUUGGAGGCUUCCGGAGUGGUUUCCCUGUACU
rnacentral:lncRNA from 1 species